AGGAGCAACAGGGAUUUGCAAUAGGGAAGGGAUUAGGUUCAAUGAGCUCUGGUGAACAGCUUCCACCUCCUGUGCUAGAGAGGUCCAGUCAUUGUGUCACAAGUGUGGGCCCAAGGGAAAUAAAUAGAACACGUUAAGGAAGGAUCAGCCUGAAAGGAUCCAGACAUGCAAUAAAGUCCCAGGUUGCUGAUGGGGGAGGGAAUGAAAUUCCUGCUCUCCUCAAAGCAGUGAGUGAUUAGCUCUAAAAGCCAUGUGCCAACGCUCCUCCGGCUGCCGUUGUUCAAGAUAAAAUAACAGGUCAUCUGUUGGAGCAGAGGUCCUUCCAGACUGAGGUCUAAUUUCUGUGCUCCGGGGGCUUAAGUGCUGGUUCAAAGGUCACCAAGCAGCACCAGUCACCGAGCAAGGACGAAGCUCAUUUUCACUCAAAACAGAGCCUGCAGAGCAGGACUCUGCAUGCAGUCAAUCACACACAGCUUGGAUCUGCACAUUCUCAACGGAGAAGGAGAUGUUUGGAGAUCAAUAGUGCAGACGGAUGGUGCCAGAGCAGAUGCUAGUGCAGAGAUAGGGCUUACCUUCCCUCUCAUAGCCAAAAAGCUUGAAGCACAGAACUGCUGAAUAAAUUGUAGGAGCUACAGAUAAGCUUGUGGGGAACCUCCAUGGAUCUGCACACCAAAACUCCAUGACUCCAUCCAGGAACCACAUUAUUGCUACGCCAACUGUGCCUUCAGCUGAGUGGUGGAUGAUCUUCAUCCCAACAAAAGAUGCUUGUGGGGCAUGGACAAAACUUUACCUGAUUGUCUGGAGCCAGCACAGAAAGGCAUAACUUUGGGCUUCUUAAGAUCUGCAGAUAGGAACCUCCUGGCAGUGUGUGCAGAAACGAUCAGGCCCACAAGGACAACACGGGACGAAUCAAUCAUACAAGAUGGAUGAGGCCACUGGGUGAUGCUUGGGUGAAAACCGCUUCCAGAUUUCACACCAGCUUCACUUUUGUGCCCCGGCUGAAAACACAGCUUUAUUGCAUGACCAUAAGUAACACAGGAAGGCACUCACCACUCCGUUUUGUGCAGCUUUUGUUUGUGAUAGUUUUAAUUUACUGCUGAAGUGAAUCCGAGACUGAUAAUUUUAUGAUUUUUUACCGAGAGAAGACAUUAAGCUACUUACUUUGGCUGCACUUCCUACUCUGCAGAAAUUAUUUAUCCAAGCACAGCGGCAAAGUGGGUCAGGGGAGGAAUAAUAAUAAUAAUAAUAAUAAAAAGAAACUGCCCACAAAAAUCUUGAAUCCCUUGCAGAAGUUGGAUUAAGGCUCAAGAUACUGGAUGCAAACCGCUGCCACGUUCUCCAUUUCAAAGGAAAGGUGUCAGCUCAGGCAGCGAUGUAAAAGACUGCAAAGUUUGGGCUGCAAAAUCCCCUUCCCACCGUUUUCCAUGCUGGUCACAAAGGAACAAAGAGCUGGAUUUGGUUCUGCAAGCUGCUCUGCCUUUUCCUCAAGGGAUAUAAACCCCAAGGAGUGAGUUGCUUCAUUGAUUCUAUGAAAAAGAGCAGAGAAAGCACUUGGGAAAAUAUGGGUAAGCAGCAGUGCUCAUGAGGAGGAGGGGAGAACAGGGAAGAGAAAGCUUUUUUUCCUGUAUUUUCUACCACCAACUGCUCAGUUUGGGUGAAAUAGGAGAGUCACAUCUUUUCCCAACUCUCUAAAGUGAGGCAACUUUGCUGAGGCCCCGGCUUGAACCGUACUGUGCCCAGAUAUCAUCAGAUCCUGCACAAGAAAAAUAAAGAGCUCAAGUUGCAAGAGAAGAGCGAUGGAGGAGUGAAACUCGAGAGGAGCAUGCAGUUUGCUGACAGCUCCCUGCAGCUCAAACCAACCCAUCAGGGCUGCAGUAAAGCCUUGGAGCAGCAGCAUUCUGCUCCAGGAAAAUCAACAUGGUGCAGCUGGGAGGGGAUUAUGCUCAUGCAGAACGAUCUCUGCAGUGGCACCAGAGGAAGAGAUCACACCAUUUGCAAAAGCGAUCUGUGCAGGUGAGAAGGGAAGCACAAGCCACACCAGCAGCUCAGCUAAUCAAAAAGGAUCUAGCAUUAAUAAGCCAGAAGUGGAGGAAAAGAGAUAAAACCUGGCAAGGCUGUUGGCAGAAGGAUGCUUUUCUCACCUCACCAGCAGGAAUCCAACCCACAAAAACCAAAUGCAUUUCUUACAUUAGACAAUUAAAACCCAUCUUAAUCCUGGGAGACUUCAGGUGGCAUAGCAUGCUGUUAUUUAAUUGCGCCUUCCAGGGCUGAUUAGCUAUCCAAGCAGCAAGGCAUCUCCACCUCCAGUAGAAGUAAAGGAAGAGAGAGCAGUGGGAUGGAACCUCUAGACCAAGAAGGUACGACAGCCACAGUGGGAUCAAAGUAACUCCAAGUUGAACAAAGUCUGAUCUUAGAGAGGCUAACUGGAAUUUUAUUCCCAGUUUCUAUAAGGGCAUCGGUAGUGGUUGUAGAUCCAGGCACGGUAUGGUUGAGAUGGGGUGCAGGUGGGCUGGAUGUGAUCUGCUGGAUCCCAGCCUUGUCAGGAAAUUCAAUUCAUUCUUCAGAGUGAUGUUGUCAGUGACCUCUGUUGACUGUGUGGAGCAUCACAGACAGCCCUGUGAGCACAGCCCACCUCUCCACUCUGGGAAAUAGCUCAGAACACCAAACUCACAAGUAGAAAAGUGCCUGAGCCAGCAGGAACAGGCCUUCAGCUGGGAAGGUGGGUAAAUUUGGAGCAAGAAGACCAGUGUUUGCAAAAUGAAAUUCUGGAAUGAUUUCAGAUUGCCUUGAUUAAAGCCAGAUUUGUUGCCUUGUGUCCAUUUUAGGUUAGCUGUGAGGUUGCUUCUUUUCCAUAGGUGUUUCCAUGGCUACUUAAUGAAGCUUUCGCUCUAGCUUCUCACUUGGAAAGUAGGAAUUGGGACAAAUUUGAAGAGCUUUUAAAGGGGUGAAAAAUAGCUGAGUUAAUUUGGCCUCUCCUCUACUCAUCCACCCUCCCUGACAAGACAGAUGUGAUGUUGGUCUCCACAAAGUGAUUAGAGGUGAGACCUGUGGGCAAACUGGGAAGUACAGCCCUGCCUGUCCCAUGCGAUCAUCCUUACUGAAACGUUUCAAAUAAGCCUCAGCUUGCUUGCAGAUGUCAGGAUGAAGCAGAGAAGUUCAUUUCCUCCUGCAAGUGAAAGGUCACCGAGGAGCAGCACUCGUGGCAAUCUCCAUGUGUACCCAGCAGACAUGAUGAGAGGGACGUUUGCCACACAGGCAGCACUUGUUGCAGCUCUGGCUUGCACUGGUUGUACAUACUCAACCUCAACCAACCUCUGUCUUCCUAAAUGUUGCAUCCAUCGUCCAGUCUGGGAUUUCACAGGCAAUCUGGUGCCAGGAGCCAUUUGGAUGAUGCCAACCUGCUGAACACACCCAGGUCAUGGCCUGAACCAGUGAUUGAACACCUGGUGAAGGGGAGCAGCCAGCCCUGAGAGCACAGGUGGAAGCAAUUCACCUGUGCAACCAGAAGGGUCCACCCCUCCCUAGCCUCAUUUAAGGGCUGGCAGCUGUAAGAGAAAGAUCUCUGCUUGGAUAUUCCUUCUUUUGGAGUGUUUGGUGAGCCUCGAUCCUUAGAAAGGGAGUUACAGCACUUUCCUUUGAACUCGGUGCUACCCAAAACUCACUGAGGACUGGAUCUCUGGGACACCUACAGAGAAGCAUUUGCAGAAUAGGAGUUAAAGUCAUGUUCCAUGGGGAUGUUAAUUCAAUUUGCAUCUUGGGAAAUAAACUUCAUUUCUGCAAAGUCCCUGAACACCUCACACAGGCAGAAGUCAGGAGAAAAACUGUUGAAGAGUGAUCCUUGAGAAGUCUGGAUCCACAGGAGUGCUGAGGAGGGUUGAAUGUCAGCUCUACAUCCAAACCUCAGCCAGUAGAGAAAGGAUGACAUCUCCGUGAUUCAAUUUCUCCAGCUGGUUUCUUAAUUCCUUUGCCACAUGGAUGUGAAGUGCUACUUCCUCCUUUCUCUAGCGAGUUCAGUAAUCUUGUUUGUGCACCAGUGGCGAUUAAAAAAUGGAGUGCUCAGGUUGAAGGCAUUUCAAGACCAGCAGGCUGGCUAAAGCAGAUAUAGUUGGUUAUGGGAGACUGGUAAAGGCCCACAUAGAGUGGCUCAUUACCUCGAGACACUGUGACUAAUGUUUUGAGAUUUGUUUGUUGGCACUGAUAUUUUGAAUGGCCCUGAUGAGUUCUUGUCAAUGGUGCUCUGUCCCACUGGGGCAGCUCCUGGCAUUUUUCUUCCCACACAUUGCACUCAAGACAGCAUUUUGAGACUACUGGGACUGAGAAAAUCAUUCCUCAUCCAGACCAUAACUGAAGAAACUUCACAGCCAGAUCAAUGCAGCUGACUCCAUUUGGCAGUUUGGACAAGGAUGAAUAUCAGUCUGGGGCGGUGGGAAUCAAGAGUGGUGAUACAAGCAGUGUUAAGCUUAAAAUGGCAUUGUGCUAUGCCAAGUUUUGCUGGAUGUAAACAUCCACAAGCAGGAAAAGGGAUGUCAUCAUCUUGAAAAAUGAAACAAUGUGAAGAGGUUUCCAGUUUGGUGCUGAAGGUGUUGGUUGGUUCUGCACCAUUUGGGUGUGCUGUUGAGUACAGGUGAUAUCAUCCAUCUGACAGCACUCAGCUGAGAAUUUCUUUCAGAACAAUUGAAAUGAGCUGCUCAUACCAUCAAGGAAACAGCAAGCAAGCAGAGAAGUUAAAAAGCCAAAUCUCCUUUCAGGACAAAGCAGCAAAACCAUCACUGAAAUAUGAGCAGUAAGCAUCAAAGAAAGGCUGAUGUGGUUUUUGAUAUACCUGGAUGUCACUCCUCCCCCCCUCCAUGUUCAACAUAUUGUGUCAGCUGAAAUGCAUUGGGCCCCUCCAAAGCAACAGCAAAUAUCUGGGAA